UUUCCAAUUUGCUCGGUUUGACCGAUCGCGACCGGAAGCCUGACUACCCAUACACAGACAAACACCAAACGGAAAAGACAACACAACAGAUAUAUGUCCUUCUUGUACACAUCCAGCAGAUCAUCAAGACCAGCGAACCACUGACCUAAACCUGAAGCACAUUUCCCCUAAACAGAGAAUAUAAAUGAAAAAAUAAGCGGAAUGAACCAUCAAUUUAUCCAGCAUGUGUUCUACGCAGAUGAUUCCCUUCCAGCUGCAACCCAUCACUGGGAAACACCCAUACACUCUUAUUCACAUACAUACACUACAGACAAUUUAGCUUACCCAAUUAGACAAUAGCGCAUGUUUUUGGAGGGGAAACCGGAGCAUCCGGAGGAAAACCACGCCAACACGUUGAGAACAUUCAAACUCCACACAGAAAUGGCAACUAACCCAGCUGAGGCUCGAACCAGUGACCUUCAUGCUGUGAGGCGACAGCACUACCCUCUGCGCCACCUCGCUGUCCACCAGAUAUGUCCAUAUCCUAAAUUUUUGUAUAUUAGCUACAUAUUCAAUUACAAAUAAUAGACAGUGUUAGUUUGUUUUGUUGUAUUUAUUUGGUGUUCAGAGAACUGCAUCAGUGAUUCCACGCAUCAGGUUAAAUUUGUUUUCUCAGACUCCAUGGUCAGUCCAUUACUACUACUGUAUCUGUUCAACCUAGAUAAUGGAACCAACCAUGAUUAAAGAUAUGUCGAUAUUCCAAGACGGUGGCACCCUAUUUUAUAAAUCUAUAGAAAAGCAUGCCAUUUACUCCAGAAAGGAUACAUUAAUCUGGUUUGACCUAUCUUUUUUUAUUAUUAAAGUGGAAAUCGUAAUGUAAGCUUGACUGACUGCUUACCUUUCACUUUAGGAGUGAUAACAGAAAAAGAGGAGCAAGAAUCAGGUCUGAAAAAGUUGUUUUGUGUAUGUUAAUGAACCAGUAAUGCAUUGAGGGCUUUGCAUACGUUUGUUUAUGAUUAAGUUUACAUUUAACAUAUGCCAGUUCUUGUUAUCUUCCCUUUUUUUGAGCCAUCGCAUACUCUCUGCUGCUCUCUGCAAUGGAUUUCUAAAAGUGUUACACAAUGCUCCUCAUAAAAUUUAGAGUUUCCUUUCCUAAACAUUCAUAAGUGUGUGCAGUACACCUGUCAUGAUGGACAAAAAUGAGCCAUUCUCAAAUCCUCAGCCAAUCACUGUAUAAAAACAAACAGACUUUUUACCUCCCAAUUUUUUUUUGUGAAAACAUCGACCCAUUGCUUUAAAAGUUUUCAAGGCAACAGGAAAUUGUGUAUCUAACUCUUGUUUACCCCAAAACAGGCUUUCUAUUUAAGAAAUAUGGAUCGCAUAUGGUCUCCAGCAUUGAUUGUCUAGGCUGCAAACGUGACAUACUGUAAUUAGUGCCUUCUAAUUAAGAAUACAAUUCAAUUGCUAAUCCGGAACAACAACCAAGAGAGAUUUGCAGAGUAAACAAGAACACAGAUAAACACAAUGGAAAUCAAAUGUCUCAUUUGCAAGAUAUUAUUGGUAGAUAUCAGAUUUCCCCCUCUGUUGAAAUGUCAUCACCUCACAGCUUGCAGUGUGAAGAAAAGCUACUAGAACAUGAAUAAAAGAUGUCAGAAAUGAAUCAAGCUGGUUGCUUGUGACAUAAAGGGUGCACAGAGUCAGGGGAAUCAUUGACACUAAUCAUGCCCUUGUGCUGAUCCUGCGGUGGAACAACUGCAUCACCUGAAGGGAAUGUAGGUCACAGUGAGGAUCAGGCCUUGAGCCCUAGCCCGAUGCCGCCUGUUAAAGAAUGACGUAACUGUUUGUUUUAAUAAAAUAGCCACAAAGAAUAUCUAUAACACUUGACUUAACUGAAAAUAAACAUAUGACAAUGUGUUAGAGCAAAAAAAGCGACAUUUGCAAGGAAAUAACUAGGCCUGAAUGUAUUUGUGAUUCAAACAGAUGCAAAUUCCUUUCUUUCACUUGAACAGUAUAUGGGUUAAAGAUAAGACCAGUCCCAUUGUGUUGUUGUAUCAUAUUAAAUGUGAUUUACACAAAAAGCAUAUGAAAGAAAA
rnacentral:lncRNA from 1 species